rfam:Camelus ferus unplaced genomic scaffold scaffold319, whole genome shotgun sequence.
GGGUACAGCUCGGUGGUAGAGUGUAUGUUUAGCAUGCAUAAGGUUCUGGCUUCAAUCCCCAGUACAUCCA